rnacentral:rRNA from 1 species
UACGGAGGGGGCAAGCGUUAUUCGGAAUUAUUGGGCGUAAAGGGCGCGUAGGCGGCUAGAUGUGUCAAAGGUGAAAUCCCUCGGCUCAACUGAGGAACUGCCUUUGAAACUGUCUGGCUUGAGUCCGGGAGAGGGUAGCGGAAUUCCCAGUGUAGCGGUGAAAUGCGUAGAUAUUGGGAGGAACACCAGUGGCGAAGGCGGCUGCCUGGACCGGUUCUGACGCUGAGGCGCGAAAGCGUGGGUAGCAAACAGG